GCAGGGUCCGGGGCAGGUGGCUCGCCUCUCUCUCUCGUUCUAGACAAACAUAGUCUAAAAAAACAGCAGCAGUAAGAUGCGAUUAGACCAGCAGCCUGCACGUUAUUUGCAGCAUACAGAUCGAUAUGUUUGUUACACAGUCAAGAAAAGCCUCAAAUUUCCUGUGCUUUUUGGUAAUUCCUCCUUCCCACCUUUACCUGCUCCCAUUUUACAGACGAGACCCCAAAGCCCGCUCGCCACAUCCUGGUGACCGUCUGUUUUCUGUCUUUCUUUGGACGUCCUGUGCUCUGUCUUGUGGGGUUCCCGUCCUCGGUGGGACUGCUUUCAGAUUCCUCUGUGUGGUGCCUCCAGUCGCUCCUUCCUGGUGCAGAUUUACACCUUGUUAUUCCCCCAGGAGUGAGACGUGAGCAGAGGGUGUUUGCUGGGUGUCCUUUACCGCGUUGAGGACCACAGCCUGGCCGGAGCUUUGUCAGUUUUGUUGUUCCUGCCUGCUCCCGUCCUCAGGACCUGCUGGGCACGGCUGCUGCCCCAUGGGCGACCUGCCUGCACCCCAUGUGUCUGACCCACUGCUAGCGCCCGCCAGUGUGUGUCUCACAGCACAGGUCUCUAGUCCGAUUCAGAUCAUGCUUUACAUCUUCUGUGUAUCUGCUUAACUUUGUAACCACAUGGAAUGUGGUCACGAU